UACGUAGGAUGCAAGCGUUUGUCCGGAAUUAUUGGGCGUAAAGAGCUCGUAGGCGGUUUGUCGCGUCUGCCGUGAAAGUCCGGGGCUCAACUCCGGAUCUGCGGUGGGUACGGGCAGACUAGAGUGAUGUAGGGGGAGACUGGAAUUCCUGGUGUAGCGGUGAAAUGCGCAGAUAUCAGGAGGAACACCGAUGGCGAAGGCAGGUCUCUGGGCAUUAACUGACGCUGAGGAGCGAAAGCAUGGGGAGCGAACAGG
rnacentral:rRNA from 1 species